rnacentral:tRNA from 2 species
CUCCCCAUAGCUCAACAGGAUAGAGCAGCCGCCUCCUAAGCGGCCGAUCGAGGUUCGAGUCCUCGUGGGGAGGCCA